CCUACGGGAGGCAGCAGUGGGGAAUAUUGCACAAUGGGGGAAACCCUGAUGCAGCGACGCCGCGUGAGUGAAGAAGUAUUUCGGUAUGUAAAGCUCUAUCAGCAGGGAAGAAAUAGCGACCUUUGGGUCGCCAGACGGUACCUGACUAAGAAGCCCCGGCUAACUACGUGCCAGCAGCCGCGGUAAUACGUAGGGGGCAAGCGUUAUCCGGAUGUAGUGGGUGUAAAGGGAGCGUAGACGGCAGCACAAGUCUGAAGUGAAAUGCCGGGGCUUAACCCCGGAACUGCUUUUGAAACUGGGCAGCUAGAGUGCAGGAGAGGUAAGUGGAAUUCCUAGUGUAGCGGUGAAAUGCGUAGAUAUUAGGAGGAACCCCAGUGGCGAAGGCGGCUUACUGGACUGUAACUGACGUUGAGGCUCGAAAGCGUGGGGAGCAAACAGGAUUAGAUACCCUUGUAGUC
rnacentral:rRNA from 1 species